AUAGAAACCUAGAAACAGUCUCUCAGCUCGUUUUCGCUUUCAAACCAAUCUUCUCCCUCACUCUGGUACACAACAGAAAUCUUUGAACUAAAAACCCAAUCCAACAUCAAUAUCGAUCGAUUCAUGGUAGCUUGAAUCUUAGCCAUCUUCUUCUUUCCCUUAUUUGCAGACUCCUCUUCGAUAAGCUCAACGAGCUUCCAACUGUUUUGUUCAAUGAAUCAAACCUAAUUAUUCAUCUCACUUUGCCUAGGCGGCAACACCGGCGGUUUAGGCGGAGCCUGUUAUUUCUUGAAUCCUAAAGCUGAGGAGAAAAGUUCAAGGGCAAGCCCAGUGAUUACUACCACUUCUCCACUCAUGAAGAGAUGGAUGUAGAUGAAUUUGUACAUGUUUUGCACAUUCCGAUUUUGAAUUUGGGGUUUAGUUGAAGAUUCAAAGCUAGUUGGUUCAAAAGAGGGAUUUGGGGAACCUAAUUGGGUUGUACAGAGAGUGGCAUUCUCAUUUGCUGCCCUAUUACUCAUUCGAUCAAUUUGUGCAUGAAGUGGAACAAGUGGCGGCCACAAAAAGAGUCAAGGUCAAUCUUUUGGCGGAUAAGGUGGACACUCAACUGAAUCUUGUUGAAAAAUUAUACAUUGCCCUUGAUCAUUAUUCACCAAUAUUGCAGCAUUAUCCUGGAUGACUUCCAUUGCAUUCUAGCUUCCUUUCCUUUGCCAACACUUCUCCAACAUCAGUAUGUGUAUAGUCCUUGCCAUGUGAAGCCAUGCCUUUGUACCUCUUCACCUACUGCUGUUUCUUUC